rnacentral:rRNA from 1 species
GGCUCAGAACGAACGCUGGCGGCGUGCCUAACACAUGCAAGUCGAGCGAGAAAGCCCGCAAGGGUGAGUAAAGCGGCGCACGGGUGCGUAACACGUGGGUAAUCUGCCCUGAAGUCCGGAAUAACUCGCCGAAAGGCGUGCUAAUGCCGGAUAAGACCACGGGAGCUUCGGCUCCUGCGGGAAAAGGUGGCCUCUGUACACAAGCUAUCACUUCAGGAUGAGCCCGCGGCCCAUCAGCUCGUUGGCGGGGUAAUGGCCCACCAAGGCUACGACGGGUAGCUGGUCUGAGAGGACGAUCAGCCACACUGGAACUGAGACACGGUCCAGACUCCUACGGGAGGCAGCAGUGGGGAAUCUUGCGCAAUGGGCGAAAGCCUGACGCAGCAACGCCGCGUGUGUGAUGAAGGUCUUCGGAUCGUAGAGCACUGUCGCGAGGGACGAAUAAGGGGCGGGCUAACAUCCCGUUCCGAUGACGGUACCUCGAGAGGAAGCACCGGCUAACUCUGUGCCAGCAGCCGCGGUAAUACAGAGGGUGCAAGCGUUGUUCGGAAUUAUUGGGCGUAAAGCGCGUGUAGGCGGCUUUGUAAGUUGGGUGUGAAAGCCCUCGGCUUAACCGAGGAAGUGCGCCCAAAACUGCAUGGCUUGAGUACCGGAGAGGGUGGCGGAAUUCCCGGUGUAGAGGUGAAAUUCGUAGAUAUCGGGAGGAACACCAGCGGCGAAGGCGGCCACCUGGACGGAUACUGACGCUGAGACGCGAAAGCGUGGGGAGCAAACAGGAUUAGAUACCCUGGUAGUCCACGCUGUAAACGAUGAGCGCUAGGUGUUGUGGGUGUUGACCCCUGCAGUGCCGCAGCUAACGCAUUAAGCGCUCCGCCUGGGGAAGUACGGCCCGCAGGCUAAAACU